AGCCCUCGUCGAAAAUCCCAAGAGCGAACUGCCCGUAACCAUGCGGGAACGUAAACAAGUGCUGGUCCACAUUCUGCCGGAGGAGAGCAGAAGAAAGAAAGUCAUGCACAUAUGGGACUGGAUGAAGGUCUCAGCUUUAUAAUGACAUCUAGUUUGAGCUUCUAGUCCACUCAGAGGCCGAGAUAUUCGAUGAAACAACAGGAAUGGUGCAUGAACUGAAAAUUAGACUGAAUGUCCAUGGACGAGCACAUCUGUGAGAGCUGAGGUGCAUUUGAGCGCCACCUACA